AGCAGUCGCCGCGGGAAUACAGAGGGUGCAAGCGUUAAUCGGAAUUACUGGGCGUAAAGCGCGCGUAGGUGGUUUGUUAAGUUGGAUGUGAAAUCCCCGGGCUCAACCUGGGAACUGCAUCCAAAACUGGCAAGCUAGAGUAUGGUAGAGGGUGGUGGAAUUUCCUGUGUAGCGGUGAAAUGCGUAGAUAUAGGAAGGAACACCAGUGGCGAAGGCGACCACCUGGACUGAUACUGACACUGAGGUGCGAAAGCGUGGGGAGCAAACAGGAUUAGAUACCCCUGUAGUCCCUGUCUCUUAUAC
rnacentral:rRNA from 1 species